GUGACUGUGUUAAUGGCUUUGUAUACUUUACCAUAAGUUCCUUCUCCAAUUUGGUCGAUUUUCUCAUAGGCAGGCUUUGGAUAUGUAUAUGUAUAAAUUGGGCCGGAAGGAGGAGAAGGAAGAGGAGCUGGAACAGACUCACGGGCCGUGGACGUGAGUGCCAUACGUUUCGAAGGAGGUUGAUCGAAUCGAGAUCGGCGUUCAUUAGGUAUAUGAAAGUGAAAUUUUCCAUGUUUGUUCUCUGGAAAGCCAGAAGACACGCUAGAUUUUUUUUGUGUAUCGGAGGAAGUAGUUUCAUGAGGGAUAGAAGGAAUAGGGGGAGGAGAAGAUGAAGGUCUCCGCGAUACCUUUCGACCGUUAAAAGCUGAAGGCUUCAUAUGUACAGAACUAGGCGGAGACCUUCGAAAAGAAGAAGCUUGCCUUUUUGAAUCAUUUCUGUUUGCGGACGGUGAUAUAGGUGAGACGGAGGCGCUAGAAGAGCUUUCAGAGCGUUUGGCAAAGUAAUCCUUGGUAGUUAAAUUACGUGCUCGUUUUUGACUACCUGAGCGGUAAAAGGAAGGUGAUGGAGGUGAGCCAGGUCUAGGACUGAAUGCCUUUUUACCCUUUCUCCUUCUAGAUUUUCGAGAACGAAAAGGUCUUUCAUGCUGUCUUGCUCGGGAAGAAUGUGUAUCGUUGAGAGGAAAUGUUCUUUUCCGCUGUUCUCGAGGAUCCUUCGCAGAUGAGGAUGGCGAUAUACUAGAUGAAUUAUUUUUGAAAGCAUUAGAGGACAGGGUGUGGCCUCCUAAAGACUCCUCAUUUGUACCAGAAAGCUGAGACUUUUCUUCGACGGUACGCCGAAAGUGGCUAUUUGGUUCUGUGCCUUGUCGGCGAUAAAUUGUACUCUUCGAGUAUGACAUUUAACAGGGUUAAAAAAAAUAAAAAAUAAAAAAAGGAAUAUUCCUAAACAAUGAAGAGAAUUACACGCAAUCUGUGAGCGAAAAUUCGAUGGGAAUAAAAGAAAAGAAAUUAAUCGUUAAAGUACGGCCAAAUGUGUUUUUAUGUAACAAUA